rnacentral:sRNA from 1 species
GCCCCAUGGGGAAGGAUGAGAAGCUUCGACUAAGGUUCGACUCGAGCGAAGCGAGAGAACGUUGCCGCAGGCAACGGCCCGAAGGGCGAGGCGCUUUAGCGCCGAGUAAUCCUUCCCCCACCACCA